rnacentral:rRNA from 1 species
CCAAGGCGCUUGAGAGAACUCGGGUGAAGGAACUAGGCAAAAUGGUACCGUAACUUCGGGAGAAGGUACGCCCCUGGUAUGUGAAGCGACUUGCUCGUGGAGCAGAAGGGGGUUGCAGUGACCAGAUGGCUGCGACUGUUUAGCAAAAACACAGCACUCUGCUAACACGAAAGUGGACGUAUAGGGUGUGACGCCUGCCCGGUGCCGGAAGGUUAAUUGAUGGGGUUAGCGUAAGCGAAGCUCUUGAUCGAAGCCCCGGUAAACGGCGGCCGUAACGAUAACGGUCCUAAGGUAGCGAAAUUCCUUGUCGGGUAAGUUCCGACCUGCACGAAUGGCGUAACGACUUCCCCGCUGUCUCCAACAUCGACUCAGCGAAAUUGAAUUGCCUGUCAAGAUGCAGGCUUCCCGCGGUUAGACGGAAAGACCCCGUGCACCUUUACUACAGCUUCACACUGGCAUUAGGCCGAACAUGUGCAGGAUAGGUGGUAGGCUUCGAAGCAGGGACGCCAGUUCCUGUGGAGCCUCCCUUGAGAUACCACCCUUGUUCUGCUUGAUGUCUAACCGCGGUCCGUUAUCCGGAUCCGGGACCCUGUGUGGUGGGUAGUUUGACUGGGGCGGUCUCCUCCCAAAUAGUAACGGAGGAGCACGAAGGUUAGCUAAUCACGGUCGGACAUCGUGAGGUUAGUGCAAUGGCAUAAGCUAGCUUAACUGCGAGACAGACACGUCGAGCAGAUACGAAAGUAGGUCAUAGUGAUCCGGUGGUUCUGAAUGGAAGGGCCAUCGCUCAACGGAUAAAAGGUACUCCGGGGAUAACAGGCUGAUCACUCCCAAGAGCUCACAUCGACGGAGUGGUUUGGCACCUCGAUGUCGGCUCGUCACAUCCUGGGGCUGGAGAAGGUCCCAAGGGUUGGGCUGUUCGCCCAUUAAAGUGGCACGCGAGCUGGGUUCAGAACGUCGUGAGACAGUUCGGUCCCUAUCUGUUGUGGGCGUUAGAAAUUUGAGAGGACCUGCCUCUAGUACGAGAGGACCGGGGUGGACGAACCUCUAGUGUACCUGUUGUGGCGCCAGCUGCAUCGCAGGGUAGCUACGUUCGGAUGAGAUAAGCGCUGAAAGCAUCUAAGCACGAAACUCACCUCAAGAUGAGAUUUCUUUUAAGGGCCGUGGAAGACGACCACGUUGAUAGGCUACAGGUGUAAAGACGGUGACGUCAAAGCCGAGUAGUA